GAGUUUGAUCCUGGCUCAGGAUGAACGCUGGCGGCGUGCCUAAUACAUGCAAGUCGAGCGAACAGAUAAGGAGCUUGCUCCUUUGACGUUAGCGGCGGACGGGUGAGUAACACGUGGGUACCCUACCUAUAAGACUGGAAUAACUCCGGGAAACCGGGGCUAAUGCCGGAUAAUAUUUAGAACCGCAUGGUUCUAAAGUGAAAGAUGGUUUUGCUAUCACUUAUAGAUGGACCCGCGCCGUAUUAGCUAGUUGGUGGGGUAAUGGCUUACCAAGGCAACGAUACGUAGCCGACCUGAGAGGGUGAUCGGCCACACUGGAACUGAGACACGGUCCAGACUCCUACGGGAGGCAGCAGUAGGGAAUCUUCCGCAAUGGGCGAAAGCCUGACGGAGCAACGCCGCGUGAGUGAUGAAGGUCUUCGGAUCGUAAAACUCUGUUAUUAGGGAAGAACAAAUGUGUAAGUAACUGUGCACGUCUUGACGGUACCUAAUCAGAAAGCCACGGCUAACUACGUGCCAGCAGCCGCGGUAAUACGUAGGUG
rnacentral:rRNA from 1 species